GUCCUUGUAGCUUAUAGCCGAAAGCAUGACUCUGAAGAAGCCAAGAAGGUUGCCCCCCACACCCCGAGGACA
rnacentral:tRNA from 1 species